rnacentral:rRNA from 1 species
GACGAACGCUGGCGGCGUGCCUAAUACAUGCAAGUAGGACGCAGUUGCGAACGGGUGAGUAACGCGUAGGUAACUACCUAUUAGAGGGGGAUAACUAUUGGAAACGAUAGCUAAUACCGCAUACUAGUAGAUGGACCUGCGUUGUAUUAGCUAGUAGGGCGGGUAAUGGCCUCACUAGGUAACGAGACAUAGCCGACGCGAGAGGGUGAUCCGCCAAACUGGGACUGAGACACGGCCCAGACUCCUCCGGGAGGUAGCAGUAGGGAAUCUUCGGCAAUGGGGGGAACCCUUGCCGAGCAACUGCGCGUGAGUGAAGAAGGUUUUCGGAUCGUAAAGCUCGGUUGUUAAGGAAGCGGUACUUAACCAGAAAGGGACGGCUAACUACGUGCCAGCCGCCGCGGUAAUAC